rnacentral:lncRNA from 1 species
UAAUAUUAGGAAUUAGAUGAACAAUUUUAAGUUUAAAAAUCCAGAUGGUCCGGAUUAAUCUAAUUAUACAGUCUAGGGAUUAUGUGAAUACAAAUCGAAAUUAAACUUAAACAAAUACAUAUCAAUUACUAUCUACUCAGAUAUUACUACAUAACAGUUUCAACAAACACAUUUCAAGAAGCAAAUGGACAAACACUUUAUUUCAUCUUUUCACCUCAAAGCUACAUCAAAUCAGGUUCGAAUGUGUACCUGGACGAUAGAAACAAAAGAAGCAGGAACGAUCAGCAAUAACAGUAACAAAUGCAGCAGCAACAAGACAAUAACAACCAGCAGCUUGAAAAUGACCCGAGAUAGCAGCACAAGGACAAAAAUGUAGCCAAGGAAUGAAAUAUAAAGGAAACUUAACCCACAACAAAUACCAGUAGCAAAACACACAAGUAGCACCUUAAGAAAACGGUUAAACUUCCAGAAAUACUAACAGUAACGCAAACACCCGUAAUAAGACAAAGAACUUGAGUUUAAACCAGAGAAUAGACCAAUAGACUUUAGGAGUAUAUUCAACGAGCAAUAGAAAACAGAAAUCAGUGUUUAAGACGCCAAAUUCAGUUUAUCUCCUCUCUCUUUUUCAACUCUUAAGUUCUUUUUAAAUGGAUUCCUUUUUUUUCUUAACUCUCAAUUUUCAGAUGGUUCUCCUCAACUCUUAAGUUCUUUCAACAGACUCUCUUUUUUAGUUUUUGUUGUCUAAAAUCUCCUCUUCUAAUUAUCCAAAUUAAUCUUAUUUAUCUACCAACAAGACCCUCUUUCCCUUCCUUUAAUUAUUAUUACAAACCUUUUAUCAUUACCCUUCCCAUUACCCCUUGCUUUAAUAUCCAGCCCCCAAAAUAUGCUUUUUUAUGUCAUUUUUUAUACUUUUAUCAUCACUUAUACUAUUCCUAAUUUUUAAUCAACAAAAAAUAGUCAAACAAGACCCCACAAUACCUCUUUUUAAUCAAAAAUUUAAAGGUUCAGUGGCCCACUGAACAUUCAACUGGCAGGCCAUUCAAACUCACCAUUUUCUUCAAGGUUUUUGCAUCCCAAAUUACCUCUGAAGUCCUACUGCAAUUACUGUUUCUAAUUCAGAUCACUAGGAAACGAAAGCCAAACUUUGAAUUUCUAAAAUUAUCCUCUAACUAUAGCUAAGUCCAAUCCCAACCUAAUCAAUUUAACUAAUUAAACUCAUUAUUAACUCCUAAUCAACACAAGCACAUAAAAAUAAGAAUUCAAACCAAAACACCAGCUAUAACCAAUUCAAAAUUCAACAGAACAGUGGAAAUGAACUAAAUAUCACAUUUAUACUAAUAUUUUUUUAGAAAUCAAAAGAAACAAUCAGAAAAGCUUAAAUCAAGAUACAGAUAAACAAACAACCAAUUCACAACAUUUGAGUGACCAAGCCAUUCGAUUAAAUGACGAAUGACUAAGCAAUUCAAACAUCGUGAAGAAUUAAUCCUAUAUGAAAAGAUUCAGUUCAAUACACAGACAGAAACAUACAGGAGGCAAGAGGAGAAGAAGACUGGAAUAGACUUAUGCAAUUAAAACCAAAAUUAAACUACUAUAAUCCAAAACCAAAAGUCAAACCACAGACUAAACGACGAAACUUAUUCAAUCGAUUAUAUAAUACAUAACAUAUAAUCAACAAAUAGAACAAAUUUAGACCAAAUAAACUGUCAUUUGGAGAAGAAGCAGAACAGUUAAAAUUCAAAACAAAAAUAAAAAAAUAACAAAUCCAAACAUAUAAACAUGUAUUAAUAGUAAAAAAUAGAACAAAAUGAAGGAGAAAAUACCUAAAAAAAAAUCAGAAAUAGACGAACUUGACUUGAACUCUAAUUCAAACUUUUGGGGUCAAAUGGACCUUAAUCGAGUGAGAACACUCGACUAAGGUCGAUUAGGAACCCCAAAUUUCCCUCAAUCUCGGAAAAAACCCAGUUUUGGUCUCGUUGGGGCUUUCUGGUUUGAUUUGAGAUUUGAACCGUUCUAGCAUGAUUCGAGGGAAACCAAUUAUGGUUUAGGAAUGAGGGAGGUCGGUGGGAUCAUUGGUGUGACUUUGGGGUCAAACAGAAUAGGGUUUUGGACGAGUCUUUUGAUCGAAGAUUCGAAGAGUCCUAGGCUGAUUCGAAGGCAAUAGAGUGUGGAUUUGGAUAAAUGAGAUCAGGGUGGUUCAGUGGUGUUGAUUUCAUGGUCACCGAACCUCAGGUCGCCGGUUUUUCGUGUGAGGGGAAAGGGGGCGGCUAGGGUUUGGUUAGAGGGUAUUUGGUCUCUGAACUUGAGAGAGAUGAGUGAAGAGAGGGGCAGGG